UCUGACAUGAGAUUACAGCAAUUUACACAUAUUUACAUAAUAUUUACACUAGCUGUAACUCAAUGAUUUUUCCUCAAGAAAGGAAAAUUGAAUAAAGCUUAUCUUGUUGCUAUUAGUAAACAGAAGGCACAGCAGUAUUUUCUUAUUUUGUUAGGAGCAGCACAGCUUCUCAUGCUUUUACCCGUUUCCUCUGAUUGGAUCAUAGAACGCUUGGGCUUUCUUCCCCUUUUACGCACAACCAUUUCUGCCUUCUCAGCUUCAUCCUCCUGAAAAAACAAAAUGGAACCACUUCACAGAAGUCAAGUACCACACAACGAGCUAACCCUCCAGAGACAAUUCUGAAGCAUACAGAUUAAAGCUGACAUUUUAACAAAUGUGGAGAAAAUAGGAAAAAGCCCGUAUGUUCAGUGCAGCUGGAUCAGUAUAUCUGUAGAAACCUAAGGUUUUGGAAAGACCAGAAGAUUUGUUUUGAAAGUUUGGUUUCUCAGAUUUUUUACGUGUUUGUUUGCAUUUAUUUACAAACAAUUUUUAA